CCUACGGGGGGCAGCAGUGGGGAAUAUUGGACAAUGGGGGCAACCCUGAUCCAGCCAUGCCGCGUGUGUGAAGAAGGCCCUCGGGUUGUAAAGCACUUUCAGUGAGGAAGAACGCCUGGUGGUUAAUACCCAUCAGGAAAGACAUCACUCACAGAAGAAGCACCGGCUAACUCCGUGCCAGCAGCCGCGGUAAUACGGAGGGUGCGAGCGUUAAUCGGAAUUACUGGGCGUAAAGCGCGCGUAGGUGGCUUGAUAAGCCGGUUGUGAAAGCCCCGGGCUCAACCUGGGAACGGCAUCCGGAACUGUCAAGCUAGAGUGCAGGAGAGGAAGGUAGAAUUCCCGGUGUAGCGGUGAAAUGCGUAGAGAUCGGGAGGAAUACCAGUGGCGAAGGCGACCUUCUGGACUGACACUGACACUGAGGUGCGAAAGCGUGGGUAGCAAACAGGAUUAGAUACCCCAGUAGUC
rnacentral:rRNA from 1 species